rnacentral:lncRNA from 1 species
AACAGCACCCAGAAGCAGGGUUGGGAAGUGCUAUGGAUGAGCCUGCUGUUUACUCAUCAUCUGAUGCUAUGCGUUGUCCUCCCAAGCUACCAGGAGAGCCUCUUAAUGGUGUGCCAGUGAGUAAGAGGCUUUCUGAUGCUGGAUGGAAGAAGGGAAAAUAUCACUGAAAACAUGAGGGUCAGAGAAUCAUCUGCCUCCGAUGGAUGCACCAUGAAGAUAAAGGGAGAUGUCUUUGUCAACAAAUCAGUCUGCCAAAGAGCAAAUGCAAUAGAAGCAGUGAUUUCCGAGCACUGGAAGCAAUGCUUGGGCUUUGAUAACAGUGAAAGAAGGAUUCCGGAGCAGAUCCUCACCUGGGCUGUCAGUGCCAGGGCUAUGAUUUUUUGGGGGGCAGCUACACUGACUGACUGACUGUGCUGCUUGCCCUGCACAGUGCAGCAGGGAGAAACUGAGGUUUAUGGCAGCUUCUGUAGGGUGAAGAGAAAAAGGAAGGGCAAAUCACCCUGGAGGGAGCAGCAGUGAGUGGGAUCAAAGGAGAAGUGGCACUGUGACCCAUAAGCACGAUGGAACCCAACCCUGGGUAUCAGCCACUGCGGAGUGGGGUUACCUGGUGCUGGGACAUCAUGGAUGGGUGCAGAUUUAUUGUGGCUGCGUUUGCCUCAAGAGCUGAAUCCACAGCCUCACGCAGGUGCAAACCAAGAAGCGGAGAACAGGCAGGAAGGUUUGGUACUGACCCAGCCCCGGGUCCCAGCUCCUGUGUGGGUUUUGCAGCCAUUUCUUGCCUCAUAGGAUCUGGGAGGACAGAUCUCCAUGCGUGGUGAGUCCUGGGGGCUCUGCCUGCUCCCCCCACCCCUUGCUGCAGGGCUGCAUUCACAUCAGCUGUCCCCUCGUGUCUCAGUUUCCCUGUCAUGCUACAGGGAUCCACGCUCCCUCCUUGAGCACCUGUGCUGGGGGAUGCCUGCCCCAUCCACUUGCAGAAGAAAAGCAAAGAGACUUCAUGGCUCUUCCUCCCAGCUCCUCUUAGAGCCUAAACCGGAGGUAGCAGAGCACCAGCGAGCAGAGAGAGGCUCAGGAGCUGGAGCAGGGCAGCCUCUAGUGGCUGCAAGCCAGGAAACGUCGGCCCCAGAAACGCACAGAGCAAAGAGGAUGCCAGAUGUGGGGUUGGCCUGCUCCCUGCCAACGUGGUGAUUCACCCUGGGCAAAAGCCAGGGGUGGCUGCUGCCCUCCCCUAUAGCACCCAGCAGGGACAGGAAUGCCAGCAGCUCGUGCACUUCUUGGCA